UAGGGAAUCUUCGGCAAUGGACGAAAGUCUGACCGAGCAACGCCGCGUGAGUGAAGAAGGUUUUCGGAUCGUAAAACUCUGUUGUUAGAGAAGAACAAGGACGUUAGUAACUGAACGUCCCCUGACGGUAUCUAACCAGAAAGCCACGGCUAACUACGUGCCAGCAGCCGCGGUAAUACGUAGGUGGCAAGCGUUGUCCGGAUUUAUUGGGCGUAAAGCGAGCGCAGGCGGUUUCUUAAGUCUGAUGUGAAAGCCCCCGGCUCAACCGGGGAGGGUCAUUGGAAAAUGGGAGACUUGAGUGCAGAAGAGGAGAGUGGAAUUCCAUGUGUAGCGGUGAAAUGCGUAGAUAUAUGGAGGAACACCAGUGGCGAAGGCGGCUCUCUGGUCUGUAACUGACGCUGAGGCUAGAAGGCGUGGGGGGCAAACAGG
rnacentral:rRNA from 1 species